rnacentral:rRNA from 1 species
GAUGAACGCUGGCGGUAUGCUUAACACAUGCAAGUCGAACGGACUCUUCGGAGUUAGUGGCGGACGGGUGAGUAACGCGUGAGAAUCUGGCUUUGGGUUCGGGACAACCACUGGAAACGGUGGCUAAUACCGGAUGUGCCGAGAGGUAAAAGAGAAAUUGCCUGAAGAUGAGCUCGCGUCUGAUUAGCUAGUUGGUGAGGUAAAGGCUCACCAAGGCAGCGAUCAGUAGCUGGUCUGAGAGGAUGACCAGCCACACUGGGACUGAGACACGGCCCAGACUCCUACGGGAGGCAGCAGUGGGGAAUUUUCCGCAAUGGGCGAACGCCUGACGGAACAAUACCGCGUGAGGGAAGAAGUCUCUUGGGUAGUAAACCUCUUUUCUUAGGGAAGAACAAAAUGACGGUACCUAAAGAAUCAGCAUCGGCUAACUCCGUG